UAGGGAAUAUUGGACAAUGGGGGAAACCCUGAUCCAGCAAUGCCGCGUGAGUGAUGAAGGCCUUAGGGUUGUAAAGCUCUUUCGCCCACGACGAUGAUGACGGUAGUGGGAGAAGAAGCCCCGGCUAACUUCGUGCCAGCAGCCGCGGUAAUACGAAGGGGGCUAGCGUUGUUCGGAAUUACUGGGCGUAAAGCGCACGCAGGCGGCGUAUUAAGUCAGGGGUGAAAGGCCUGGGCUCAACCCAGGAAAUGCCCUUGAGACUGAUACGCUGGAGUACGGAAGAGGGUAGUGGAAUUUCCAGUGUAGAGGUGAAAUUCGUAGAUAUUGGAAAGAACACCGGUGGCGAAGGCGGCUACCUGGUCCGUUACUGACGCUCAUGUGCGAAAGCGUGGGGAGCAAACAGG
rnacentral:rRNA from 1 species